CCACCAAGUAGGCAUCAGUAGUUUGAUCCUGGCUCAGGAUGAACGCUAGCGGCAGGCCUAAUACAUGCAAGUCGGACGGGAUCCAUCGGUAGCUUGCUACCGAUGGUGAGAGUGGCGCACGGGUGCGUAACGCGUGAGCAACCUGCCCAUAUCAGGGGGAUAGCCCGGAGAAAUCCGGAUUAACACCGCAUGACACUGCUUUCCGGCAUCGGGAGGUAGUCAAAUAUUCAUAGGAUAUGGAUGGGCUCGCGUGACAUUAGCUAGUUGGUGGGGUAACGGCCCACCAAGGCGACGAUGUCUAGGGGCUCUGAGAGGAGAAUCCCCCACACUGGUACUGAGACACGGACCAGACUCCUACGGGAGGCAGCAGUAAGGAAUAUUGGUCAAUGGGGGCAACCCUGAACCAGCCAUGCCGCGUGCAGGACGACUGCCCUAUGGGUUGUAAACUGCUUUUGUUAGGGAAUAAACCCCGCUACGUGUAGCGGGCUGAAUGUACCUAAAGAAUAAGGAUCGGCUAACUCCGUGCCAGCAGCCGCGGUAAUACGGAGGAUCCGAGCGUUAUCCGGAUUUAUUGGGUUUAAAGGGUGCGUAGGCGGCACUUUAAGUCAGGGGUGAAAGACGGCAGCUCAACUGUCGCAGUGCCCUUGAUACUGAAGUGCUUGAAUGCGGUUGAAGACGGCGGAAUGAGACAAGUAGCGGUGAAAUGCAUAGAUAUGUCUCAGAACACCGAUUGCGAAGGCAGCUGUCUAAGCCGUUAUUGACGCUGAUGCACGAAAGCGUGGGGAUCGAACAGGAUUAGAUACCCUGGUAGUCCACGCCCUAAACGAUGAUGACUCGAUGUUUGCGAUAUACCGUAAGCGUCCAAGCGAAAGCGUUAAGUCACCCACCCUGGGAAGUGU
rnacentral:rRNA from 1 species